rnacentral:rRNA from 1 species
GACGAACGCUGGCGGCGUGCUUAACACAUGCAAGUCGAACGGAAAGGCCCUGCUUUUGUGGGGUGCUCGAGUGGCGAACGGGUGAGUAACACGUGAGUAACCUGCCCUUGACUUUGGGAUAACUUCAGGAAACUGGGGUUAAUACCGGAUAGGAGCUCCUGCUGCAUGGUGGGGGUUGGAAAGUUUCGGCGGUUGGGGAUGGACUCGCGGCUUAUCAGCUUGUUGGUGGGGUAGUGGCUUACCAAGGCUUUGACGGGUAGCCGGCCUGAGAGGGUGACCGGCCACAUUGGGACUGAGAUACGGCCCAGACUCCUACGGGAGGCAGCAGUGGGGAAAAUUGCACAAUGGGCGGAGGCCUGAGGCAGCAACGCCGCGUGCGGGAUGACGGCCUUCGGGUGGUAAACCGCUUUCGCCGGUGACGAGGCGUUAGUGACGGUAAUGGGUAAAGAAGCACCGGCUAACUACGUG